CCAAAAUCAUUGGGAGCUAAACUUAGAUUUUAGUGCAGCAAAUCUGUAUCUUCAGCUGGCACAAGUUGGUGCAGUGCUGUUUGGAUUCAGCUUGGGCUAUGUGACUUUUGAAGAUUUCACCUGAAUAUGUACACUUAACGUAUAUCUUCUCAAAUCAGACUUGAGAGCUGCAACAGUUCCAUAAACAACCUUUAUUCCUUCCCGUUUUUGGAGGACAUCUGGUUCACAUCCUCCACUCAAAGCAAGAACAAACUACAUGAGAAAAAAGGUUGCUUGGGGUCAAACUUAGCCAAGUUCUGAAUGUAUUAAAGGACGGAGAUUGAACAGUCAGACGACACUUCAAUUUUUGACUGCCACGACAAUCAAGUUUUCCUGAUGUUCCUUCGGAAUUUUCUGUGCUGUAACUUGAGUCCGUUGCCUUCUGUCUUUUGUGUUUAACCUCAGAGAAGAGUCUGGCUCCACCUCUGCAACCUUCCAUCAGCGAUAAACAUCCAACUGAUGUCAAUGGAGAUAGG
rnacentral:lncRNA from 1 species